rnacentral:rRNA from 1 species
UACGUAGGGGGCAAGCGUUGUCCGGAUUUACUGGGCGUAAAGAGCGUGUAGGCGGCCACGCAGGUCCGUUGUGAAAACUGGAGGCUCAACUUCCAGCCGUCGACGGAAACCGUGUGGCUAGAGUCCGGAAGAGGAGAGUGGAAUUCCUGGUGUAGCGGUGAAAUGCGCAGAUAUCAGGAAGAACACCGGUGGCGAAGGCGGGUCUCUGGGCCGUAACUGACGCUGAGGAGCGAAAGCGUGGGGAGCGAACAGG